rnacentral:rRNA from 1 species
GAUGAACGCUAGCUACAGGCUUAACACAUGCAAGUCGAGGGGCAGCGGGAUUGAAGCUUGCUUCAAUUGCCGGCGACCGGCGCACGGGUGAGUAACGCGUAUCCAACCUUCCGUACACUCAGGGAUAGCCUUUCGAAAGAAAGAUUAAUACUUGAUGGUAUGAUGAGAUUGCAUGAUAUCAUCAUUAAAGAUUUAUCGGUGUACGAUGGGGAUGCGUUCCAUUAGGUAGUAGGCGGGGUAACGGCCCACCGACCCCACGAUGGCUAGGGGUUCUGAGAGGAAGGUCCCCCACAUUGGAACUGAGACACGGGCCAAACUCGUACGGGAGGCAGCAGUGAGGAAUAUUGGUCAAUGGACGAGAGUCUGAACCAGCCAAGUAGCGUGAAGGAUGAAGGUCCUACGGAUUGUAAACUUCUUUUAUAAGGGAAUAAACCCUCCCACGUGUGGGAGCUUGUAUGUACCUUAUGAAUAAGCAUCGGCUAACUCCGUG